AUAGACAGGGGGCAAUGUAGUGCUGCCCUAGAUAGCUCCUCGUAAAUGCAAACAUCACUUUACGCUUUACACGGUUUUGUAAUUUAUGUUUCUAGGACUUGUUUACAGCUAAUAUAUGAGACUAAAAUUAUAUGCAAAAUCAUUCAAUGAAGAAAUAUAGAAAAUAAUAAAACGAUUACAAGUUCAGAAUUAUAUUUAGUCUUUUAAUUCCCGAUAGUACUUGAACGUAACACCAUUUGACAGACCGUCCUUGGCUAAUGUUGCUAGUUAUCGGGUCUAGAAAAAUACGACUACGAAACCUAAGAAGAGCAUUUUGGAGGUUGUUGCAGUAGGUGGGAAUAAGGUUGAGCUAAUGUCCCUCAAUUCUGGUGACCAAGGGGCUUUAUCUGAGACUGCCCCUUUUGCUAAAAACGAGGACCACCAGCAGAAGAGGCCCAGUACUGUGACAGGAGAUAACACACAUGUGGACCAGGUGUUGCCGGGAGUGGAUGAAGCCUCUCCUGGUUCGACUUCAUCCUUUGAGAUGCUCGACAUGGAGCCAGUCCCACCUCCUUACCAAAAAGUGCAGCCUCACUGGUUCUUCUACAAACAGAGCGAUGACAAUGUACUCUGGCUCCCUUUUAGCAGAGAAGACUCAGAAAAAUUAGAGAAUGCCAAUAAUGCAGACGAUGGAGAGGUGGUGGUGGCUGUGGAGGGUGAACGCUAUGAUGUAAAUGUCAAGGAGAGGAAGUGCUACGCCGUGUACUGGGAACAGGCGCCCAUUGAAGUUCGCCGCUGCACGUGGUUCCACAAAGGAGAUAAAGACAUGAGGUUCAUGCCAUACUCCGAAGACUUCAGCAACAGUCUGGAGGAUGCCUAUAUGAUUGCAGUUACUUUGGAUGAGUGGAAAAGGAAACUAGAUUUUCCCACGGGAGAGACGGUUAUUUUACACAAUCCCAAGUUGAUAAUGCACUAUCAGCCAAUAGGAUUGCAGGAAGACUGGAUCUCCUCACCAUCUGAAAAUACUCGUCCUAGAACAGUUAAACGUGGCAUCAAUAACAUCCCUAUAGACAUACCAGAUUGUGAACCAGAAAAGGUGGACCACCUUGUAUUUAUGGUCCAUGGCAUCGGUCCUGCAUGUGAUCUACGCUUCAGAUCCAUCAUUCAGUGCGUGAAUGACUUCCGCAGUGUGUCGUUGUCCUUGUUGGCUUCUCAUUAUAAGACUGCUCAGCUAGAAGGAAAGGUGGGGAAAGUGGAAUUCCUCCCUGUGAAUUGGCAUAGCGCUUUACAUGGCGAUGCCACUGGUGUGGAUGAAGAUAUUCAUAGGAUCACGCUGCCCAGCAUCAGCAGAUUGAGACAUUUCACCAACGACACCCUACUGGACUUGUUUUUCUAUAAUAGUCCUACCUAUUGCCAGACCAUAGUGGAUACAGUCGCAUCAGAGAUCAACAGAUUACACACACUCUUUAAACAGAGACACCCCAAGUUCAAUGGGGAGAUUUCUGUUGUGGGUCAUAGCCUUGGUUCGUUGAUCUUAUUUGACAUGCUAACCAACCAGAGAACUGGUCCAGAAUCUGCAAGAGAAGAGGUGCUGUCCGAUGACCCCUGUCAUCUGGAACCUGAUACACUUCUAGAGCAGACUCUCGCCAGACUGGGCCUGCAGCAAUACACAGACAUAUUAAAGGCAGAAAACCUGGACCUUGAAUCACUGGCUCUUUGUCAAGAAAAUGAUCUCAAAGAUUUAGGAAUUCCUCUUGGGCCCCGGAAGAAGAUGCUUAAAUAUGUCAGGAGAAAAUAUUUUUCAGAGGAUUACAAAGCAGGACGUUUGAGUCUGGAGCGACAAGGUUCCCUCCAUAGUCAGGACAAUGGUCCAGAGUCUGCUGUUGAAAAGGGCCAGUUCCUCAGAACACAGUCCAUAACCAGCGCUGUAGAUUAUGAAUAUUUCAACAUGGGCAUCGGACAGACCAAUGGAGGCAUAGCCAAGGGACAGGUAUCCGUCGAUUACCCACAGCUCGCGUUUCAGCCACAGACUUUUUUUGCUUUUGGAUCGCCUAUUGGAAUGUUCUUAACUGUCCGUGGACUUAAACGCAUCGAUCUCAACUACAGCUUCCCGACCUGCAAGAGUUUUUAUAACAUCUAUCACCCGUUUGAUCCUGUAGCUUACCGGAUUGAACCCAUGAUUAUUCCAGAUGUUGACCUGGAACCUAUGCUAAUUCCGCACCAUAAAGGCCGUAAAAGGAUGCACUUGGAACUGAAGGACAGCUUUACCCGCAUGAGCAUAGAUUUUAAGAAUAAUGUUCUUGGAUCAUUACGGACAGCUUGGCAGUCAUUUUCCAAACUACCUGUUGCUGCGCUGCCCCCAGUUGCUGAAGGAGAAAGUACAACAGAGGAAAGUCUUCAGGAGACACAAGUUUGUGCCUCUGCUCAGAGGGAGGAAAAAAGUGGUGACUUUUGGACUAAAAUAUUGGAGUGGCCCAGGGCCCUUCAUAGGCAUCACUUCCAAGGCGAAAGUGAAGAGGUGGACUCGUCACGAUCAACAGAGGAACCGCAGCAGGCGGAGAAAGCGGAAAUAAAAAUGGGAAUGUUGAAUGGAGGGCGACGCAUCGACUACGUGCUUCAGGAAAAACCCAUCGAGAGCUUCAAUGAAUAUUUGUUUGCCAUUCAAUCUCAUCUUUGCUAUUGGGAAUCUGAGGACGCUGCUCUGCUGCUGCUGAAGGAAAUCUACGACAAACUGGAUGUGACAUUGGAACAGCAUCAACAGUAAUUAAAAUUUCUCGAUAAGCUCCAAUUCAGGAGAGUGGGAACACAAAGGACCAUUAACAGGUUGGAAAAUCAUCCUCCAGAAUGCCUUACUGCCUGUGACAGUUGUGAUCAGGUGAUCUUUGGUCACGUCAGUCAAUAUUUCAGGCAUCACACACAGUUGGGUUGGUAUCGACUGAUUGAUCCUGCCCAGUGUUGCACUGAUCUGUUCUUCCUUACCAUGCACUUUUGUUCAUAUCAGCAUAUCGUACACACAACUGUAAUUAGGGAUGUCCCGAUCCAGGUUUUUGCACUUCCGAUCCGAUACCGAUAUUGUUUUGCACUUCCGAUCCGAUACCGAUACGGGCCGAUACCGAUAUCUGAGCAUGUAUUAAAGUUUAAAGUUAUUGAGCCUCCUUAGUUGUCAGACUCAUGUUGAAAAGGGUUUUAGUACUCUUGAUAACAACUAGCCAGCUGAAUUAGGUGAGUUUGAAUAACACUCAAUGGUUGGUAACAAGAAACUGACUUGUUUAUUCAGUGACAAACACAAAACAUUAUAAAUAACAAACAGAAUUGGCAUAGUCAGUCAGUAAAAUGUGCAAAUAAUAAUGUAAACUGUCAGUGGAAAAUCCCACAAACCCCCCAAGCUAUUAGAUGCUUUUAAUGUUUCGUGCAUUAGUUACAAAAAUUGUAUAAAAAGCCUCUCAGGUUUAAAGAAACGACUAUUUCAGUAUCAAGUAAACAUUUUAAAACAGUAAAUAAAAUACUCAAGUCCCCAUUCUGUAUCAGCAGCUUUAAACUACAUUCAAUUCAUUUAAUUUUGCGAAUCAACAGUUGUUAAAAUUUUUCCCGUUAUUCCAUAAUUUCCCUUCUGUCUACUUUUGACAUGUGAAAGUUUUAAAACUGUUUUGAAAAUAGAGUCAAGUCAAGACUUUGCCGAUUUAGGAGUAUUUUAGAUAAAAAGUUAAUUAGGUUCGUUUGGAAGAUUCACUAUAACAGUCUACAAGGGAAGUAUUCUGCUUUAAGAUGGCGGCUGUUCAUUAACGCACCUAGUUUUCAAUGCAUGUGUUGCUAACCCCGUCGAGUCUGUCAUUUUGCAUCUAGUUCUAUAUACAUAUGAUAUCUAUUAGACAAGCAUGAUGUUUACUCUCGGGACGCAAUGCGGUCCGUUUCUCAUUGCGUCCCGAAGACUGCGCUGUGUAUUAGUUCCGCUUUACUUGACAUAUUUUAAUAAUCGUAAUUUGGUUGUGAAUGGUUCUCGAAUCUUCCACGGCCGAAUCGCUCAAGGAUAUAAUGACGUCUGGGCAUGUGGUACCGUGGUUCUAAGUGUUGGAUGGUGCGUCUUUACUCACGAGAGAUAAUGGCUCGUCAUCCAGAAUGAAUUCUUCGGCAAUGACUCUUGUUAUUCCCUGGGCUUUGGGACUGUCGAGUGCCAGUUUGUCACGCAUAGCAAAAGUUUCUGCCAGUGUUAGUUGCGUAGGACUUUUCUUUUUGUCCUUGGUUUUCUUAACAUACUCCUUAUGUUGUUUGUGGUUGUAUGUCGCUAAAUGCUUGAUUAGGUUGGUUGUAUUAAAACUUCUUACAGCUUUACCACCACGCUUGACUUUAUUGUGGCAUAUGUUGCACUCUGCCUCUUGGUCUUUGUCGUCCUUUAAGGUGAAAUGAUCCCACAAAGCUGAUUAUGUAUAUCGGUGCGCUGGAAAACCUAGACCGGAUUUUCAAAAAAACUGGAUCGGAAGUCUGGAUCGGAAAUUUUCCGUGUCGGCCGAUCCGAUGCGCAUUUUUUUGCCCAUAUCGGCGUCCGAUCCGAUCCGGGCAUCUCUAACUGUAACUAUAUAUCGUGUAAUUUUUGUCAUUAUGAACAGAAGUUUAAAAAUAUCAUGAUGUGUCGAAUUGCUUAAACACAAUUUAUAACAGAGCUAGUGUGAACUCUAUCCUAUUGGCUUAUAAUUUUGUUGUGGUAGACUGAAGUAUUUUUGUGUAUUCAUUGAGUACAAGGUUCAUCCAAAGAAACUAAAAGCUGCUGCUCCUACAAUGUGCAAUUUUGCUUCAAUGUCAAAGGUAAGGGUUUAUUUGACUUAUUUUAUUUCACAUUCAUCAUAUUUCAUAAGUGUGUGUGAUGCACUUAAUUCUAUCCGUUUUAGAAGUUUGCAGUUAGAAUACAGUGAUCCCUCGCUACUUUGCGCCCUCAGUCCAGAUUUUUUUUCCCCAAUUCAAAAAUGAAUAAAUGCAGUAAUUUAUAAAGCUGUCACAAUCCGAUCACGUAAUCUCUCACUCUCGCUCCUGCCGCUUUUUCUUGGUCAGGCAGUGCACUGGAGUUGCUAAUAAGUUAACGAUGAUUGACAAACGUUUAGGUUUGAUCUUGCCGGAGACGCUUGGAAGCUGAAACUUCAAAGCGCUGCACGCGUCAAUCAUUCUUCAACUUGUUAAACAGUUGCUGUGCCAACUCAUUUUGUGUAAGUGAGCAGCUUGAGUGGACUCACUCAAUGAAGCAUUUAAUAAAGGCAAGCAUUUUUCUACUUUGUUCUUGUUUAAAAAUAAUUCGGUGGGACAGUAACAUGUUUAUUACAUUUGAAGUACUUAAAAACCAUUUAUUAACCGCUUCAGAACGAAGAAUGCUGCUGAACUCAUUAUCGGUAUAAAAGACACCUGUCCACAACCUCAGUCAGUCACACUCCAAACUCCACUAUGGCCAAGACCAAAGAGCUGUCGUAGGACACCAGAGACAAAAUUGUAGACCUGCACCAGGCUGGGAAGACUGAAUCUGCAAUAGGUAAAACGUUUGGUGUAAGGAAAUCAACUGUGGGAGCAAUUAUUAGAAAAUGGAAGACAUACAAGACCACUGAUAAUCUCCCUCGAUCUGGGGCUCCAUGCAAGAUCUCACCCCAUGGCGUCAAAAUGAUAACAAGAACGGUGAGCAAAAAUCCCAGAACCACACGGGGGGACCUAGUGAAUGACUAACAGAGAGCUGGGACCACAGUAACAAAGGCUACUAUAAGUUGCACAAUGCACCACCAGGGACUCAAAUCCUGCACUGCCAGAUGUGUCCCCCUGCUGAAGCCAGUACAUGUCCAGGCCCGUCUGCGGUUCACUAGAGAGCAUUUGGAUGAUCCAGAAGAGGACUGGGAGAAUGUGUUAUGGUCAGAUGAAAACAAAAUAGAACUUUUUGGUAGAAACACAGUUUCUUGUGUUUGGAGGAGAAAGAAUACUGAAUUGCAUCCGAAGGACGCCAUACCCUCUGUGAAGCAUGGGGAUGAAAACAUCAUGCUUUGGGGCUGUUUUCCUGCAAAGGGAUCAGGGGGAGACUGAUCUGUGUAAAGGAAAGAAUGAAUGGGGCCAUGUAUCGAGAGAUUUUGAGAGAAAAUCUCCUUCCAUCAGAAAGGGCAUUGAAGAUGAGACGUGGCUGGGUCUUUCAGCAUGACAAUGAUCCCAAACACCCAGCCAGGGCAACAAAGGAGUGGCUUCGAAAGAAGCAUUUCAAGGUCCUGGAGUGGCCUCGCCAGUCCUCAGAUCUCAAUCCCAUGGAAAAUCUGUGGAGGGAGAUGCAAGUCUGUGUUGCCCAACGACAGCCCCAAAACAUCACUGCUCUAGAGGAGAUCUGCAUGGAGGAAUGGGCCAAAAUGCCAGCAACAGUUUGUGAAAAGAUUGUGAAGAGUUAAAGAAAGCGUUUGGCCUCUGUUAUUGCCAACAAAGGGUACAUAACAAAGUACUGAGAUGAACUUUUGGGAUAGACCAAAUACUUAUUUUCCACCAUGAUUUGCAAAUACAUUAUUUAAAAAUCAAAUAAUGUGAUUUUCUGUUUUUUUUUUCCCACAUUCUGUCUCUCAUGGUUGAGGUUUACCCAUGUUGACAAUUACAGGCCUCUCUAAUAUUUUCAAGUGGGAGAACUUGCACAUUUAGUGGUUGGCUAAAUACUUUUUUGCCCGACUGCAUAUAAUUACCUUUUUAUGGCUGGGUUGAAACAUUUUUAGUGUGGGCGCUACUUUGCGCUUUUUCACUUAUCUUUGUGGGUUCUGGUCCCCAAUAUCCGCAAAAAAUGAGGGAUCACUGUAUUAUACUGUAUACUGGCAGAUAUGUUUGCAGAAUUUGCUUUGGAUUAUGUCAAAGGCCAAAAUUUUUUUUUUUCCAUCUGUUUUUUUUUUGUAUUGGGGGUUUGCACCAUUAGCUUCCUUCGGUCUCACAUGUACAGAUAGCAAUGUUGUAUUAUCUCAAAUUAUUACACUUUCUGUUUGAGUUCUCUAUUUGCAUAUGUACAGCAGUACUGUCACUUUCAUAUUCACAUAGAUGAAAUCUUAACACAUUCAAACCAAAUUGAUACAAAAUCAAAUGCAACUAUUUUUUUUUGUAUCCAGUAGUCCUUUUUAUUCACCUCAUACUUGCUUACUAUAGAUGGCUACCAUAUUUCAACCUAGUGAGAGGUUGAUCUCAAUCUUGUGCACCUCAGAUAGGGUCAUUACAGGUUUGGAAGACAUUUCACAUCCAACUUUUCAAACUUCACAUGCAAAAUAUUAAAACUUUCCGAGUAAAUGUACUUAUUCUGAGACCAAAUGCAAAUAAAAUAAUGCUUGAAAAUCAUAGGCGGAGUUUGACUUUUGGGGCAGGGGGGGGCACAACAUGUUGAUGACCCCAAAAUGCAGUGUCAGCAAUAAAACUUACAAGUAUAUUUAUAAUAAUAAGUUGAAUUUUUUUUUUGUUUCCCAUCAUUCUUGAGGGGAAUUCUAAAUCAGGCUGCUUUGGACAGCUAUAUUUUUCGCCAAGAUCGUCAUCCAUUGAAUAUGGUAUUCCCGCUGGUGUUGUGCCAAUGUAGUUACCCCAGUCAAAAAUUGUAUCCCCUGGGCGGAGCCAUAUGGAGGUAGAUUUGUGUCUUCAAUAUUCGAUCCCAAAAAAAGCUGCUUCAAUCAAAAAAAAAAACAACAUCAAAAUAUAUAUUUUCAAUUUAAAAAAAAGUCACUUCAAUCAAAAAAAGUGUUUGAAAGCAAAAAUAAUUUGAAACUCAAAAAAAUGAAUUUGAAAGCUAUAUAUAUAUAUAUAUAUAUAUAUAUAUAUAUUAGGGCUGUCAAACGAUUAAAAUUUUUAAUCGAGUUAAUUACAGCUUAAAAAUUAAUAAUCGCAAUUAAUUGCAAUUCAAACCAUUUAUAAAAUAUGGCAUAUUUUUCUGUAAAUUAUUUUUGGAAUGGAAAGACAAGACAAGAUGGAUGUAUACAUUCAACAUACGGUACAUAAGGACUGUAUUUGCUUAUUUAUAACAAUAAAUCAACAAGAUGGCAUUAACAUUAUUAACUCAUUUGCUCCCGGAACCGUAUAAAUACGUUCUAUUUCCAAAUGCUUCAGUGUCCCGAUUACGUAUUUAUACGUCUUUUGCGUUUUUUUGUACAAGAAGCAUCUAGAGCUUUCGAUCUAUCGCCAAAACAAAAAACAACCCUCAAAACCCAUUUUAAAGCAAUAAAACUGGCCACUGGAGGGCAGUAGCGCAUUUGUUAAGAGCCCACAACUCAAUUCAAACAGUACAACUUUAUUAGGGAAGCUAGCAGAGCCCCUCCGCAGGUUGCUGCUCAUGUCCACCGCACGCUCGAGGGUCCUGCACGGAAACGCGCACGGCCAAACCAGUUCCCCCCCAGGAACAUAAGUUCCCCUGGUGAACGAGACAGUGGUCACCACAAAAAAAGACUUUUAAAAAAAUCCAUCUUUACGAGACAGUCGGCAAUGAGGGAAAAGUUUAACCGCUGUCGCAGCCACCAAACGUCAUCUCUCAGUUAGGUAAGUGUGAAUAAAUUGUUACUUUGCUAUGAAAAACUCUAUUUGGCUGGUUGUUAUUUUGUAAAAGGAAAACAUUAUUCAGAUGUUUGGGAUGACACUGAAGCAAAAAAUAGCCGUGUUAAAGUCAAAAUUACAAAAAGCUCAUUUUCUCCGUUUUUUCAUCAGAAAUUGGAAAAAUGCUCAAACUAAGCAAUUUUCUAAUGCUGAUUUCUAAAGAAUGAAAUAACGUAUGAACUUACUUUUUUUCUGCUGAAAGAAGAGAGUCUAAUCUUUCUUUUGGUGGGUUCCAUGUUUAUAUAGGAAUAGAACAGAAUUUUUUGUGGGCCGUGCAAAAUCAGUCAAAAUCCAGUAAAAUGGCCGGGAGCGAAGGGCCUUGCUCCGGUGAAAAUGGCUGGGAGUGAAUGAGUUAACAUUUCUGUUAAAGCGAUCCAUGGAUAGAAAGACUUGUAGUUCUUAAAAGAAAAAUUUUAGUACAAUUUAUAGAAAUUUUAUAUUAAAACCCCUCUUAAUGUUUUCGUUUUAAUGAAAUUUGUAAAAUUUUCAAUCAAAAAAUAGACUAGUAGCCCGCCAUUGUUGAUGUUAAUAAUUACUUACACAAUGCUCAUGGAUGGCUGAAUCAGUCGCACCCAAGCGCCAGCAGAGGGCGGCAAAACUCCAUAAAACACAACAAGUGGUGUUUCACUGUACCGUCAUUUAAAUCUGUCUGAGCGGGUAAUCUGCGUUAAUUGCGUCAAAUAUUUUAACAUUUAAUAAAUUAAUGAACGCCCGUUAACGCGAUAAUUUUGACAGCCAUCAUAUAUAUAUAUAUAUAUAUAUAUAUAUUUUUUUUUAAUUACUUUUUUUUCAUUCAAGUCAAAUUUUUUUGGUUGAAGCAACUUUUUUGAUUGAAGUAAUGUUGUUUUGUGUUUAGGCCGCGUUUUGGCUAGGACAUUUGUGUCUUUGUUAUUCAAUCAAAAAAUAAGUUUCUUCAAACAAAAAUAUAUAUUUUCAAAAUAAAAAUAACUUCAAUCAAAAAAAAAAAUUCUAUCAUAGAAAAAAGCUUUUGAAUGCGAAAAAAUAUUUGAGACUCAAAUACUUGCAUUUGAACACUUAAUUUUUCAAUACAAAAAAAAAUUGAUUUUAGCAAUCCUUUUUGUGUGACAUUUGUGUCUAAAUCAUUCAAUCCCCAAAAAAGUUGCUUCAGCCAAAAAAAGAAUAUUUUCAAAAACAGAAAGAAAUCAUUUGAAAAAUAAAAUUGCCUUCCCCUAAUUUUUUUUUUUUUAAAUAAUAUGCAAAGCAAAGGACUGUCUAAGGUGCUCGUCACAUGAUCUGUUCGAAAUAUCAUUUUUAACCCAUUAUAAAAAUCUUUUUUUGUUCAUUUCUUUCAUUUUUGUUGUUUGUUUUAUUUCUCAACAACUUUUAUAUACCGUAUUUUUCGGACUAUAAGUCGCAGUUUUUUUCAUAAUUUGACUGGGGGUGCGACUUAUACUCAGGAGCGACUUAUGUGUGAAAUUAUUAACACAUUAUUAUAUCAUUUCACAUGUUAUUUUGGUAUUUUGGAGUGAACUUGUUAACAUAUUCUUUAUGCUAUAACACUUUAAUAGCUAUGUCACAUUAACAUACCGGCCACGUUCGCAUUUUGUUGUUCAUGCAUCAUGUAACAUUAUCAUACUGUUCAUUUAUCCAGCAUGUUGUUCUCGAUUGUAUUUUUAUUUUAAAUUGCCUUUCAAGAUGACAUAUCUGCUCUAUGUGUUGGAUUUUAUCAAGUAAAUUUCCCCCCAAAAUGCGACUUAUACUCCAGUGCGACUUAUAUAUGUUUUUUUCCUCUUCGUUGGGCAUUUUAUGGCUGGUGCGACUUAUACUCAGGUGCGACUUAUAGUCCGAAAAAUACGGUAAUAUGUUUAUAGGAAAGUCAAUUACAUGCAAUGAUACUUUCGGACACCAGGGGGGGCCUGGAUCCCCUGGCCCCCCUUUAAACUCCGCUUAUGUUGAUUUUUAUUUUUAUUUUUUUAUGAAUACCAAAUACUGUUGUCUGGAAUCCCCCCUAAAAUGGCAUUUUUCUUUUGUUGCAUCUGUUCAAAUGACCAAAUUGAAUAUCAGAUAAAAUAAAAUUUUGCGGGGCUAAAUAUUUUUCAAAAAUUAUAAAGUGUUCUCCAAUUCUGGAAUGGCCCAUAUACAGUAUUUAUGUGUCAAACAACAUUCUACACUCUCCAAACAAGCACUGAUUAUGUAUUGCAGGGUCCAGAUUUAGUGAACCCUGAUGUAUUGUAUAUUAUAUUAUGUUAAGCACUUGACAUCUACUGCUUAUGCCGUGCACUCAAUGUGGUGAUGGUGCACACAGAGUUAAGGCUCUACUAAGCUUACCUCUUUUUUGUGUGCUUGAAUAAAACAAUGUCUUGUAUUCUAUAGCUGUUCUAACUUUUGUAUUGAAUUCAGAUGAACAUUAGGAAAAUUGCUAGCACAAGGUAAUUAUGUAAUAUUUUAUUUUGAUUUGGGAGGGUGUCAUAAAAUGUUGCUCUUUAGAAAAAAACAUGUUUAAACACAGUAAACAGAUUGGUCUUUCCUCGUCCCCCAAUGUAUUAAAAGUCAAAGCCAAAAGCGA